UUAGUGGCGGACGGGUGAGUAACGCGUGGGUAACCUGCCUCACACAGGGGGAGUAACAGUUAGAAAUGACUGCUAAUACCGCAUAACCCGAUAGGAUCGCAUGAUCCAGACGGAAAAGAUUUAUCGGUGUGAGAUGGACCCGCGUCUGAUUAGCUAGUUGGAGGGGUAACGGGCCCACCAAGGCGACGAUCAGUAGCCGGUCUGAGAGGAUGAACGGCCACAUUGGGACUGAGACACGGCCCAGACUCCUACGGGAGGCAGCAGUGGGGAAUCUUCCGCAAUGGACGAAAGUCUGACGGAGCAACGCCGCGUGAACGAUGACGGCCUUCGGGUUGUAAAGUUCUGUUAUACGGGACGAAAGGCGUAGUGGUCAAUACCCGCUACGAGUGACGGUACCGUAAGAGAAAGCCACGGCUAACUACGUG
rnacentral:rRNA from 1 species